AGAGCCUGGCCUCCUGCUAUUGAUGUUGUCGUGUGGCAGCUCCCUCUACAAUCGCCGGGCUGCCUGGGUGGCCAACAGGACGGCGUGGGAGUGACAGGAUGUGACCCCUGAGGCCAGGACAUGAAGCACAUGGUAGCUGUCAUCUUGCUUUCCUGAGGCACUAGCCUUGGGAGAAGCCACCCUGUCCUAAGCAGCCCUGUGGAGAGGUCAGAGUGGCGAGAACUGAGGCCACUGGUCAACAGCCAGCACCAGCUUGGCCACUGGGAGAGUGGGCCCUUUUGGAAGUGAAUCUUCCAGGCCCAGGCAAGCCUUCAGGUGACUGCAGCCUAGGCUGACCCCUGGGCUGACGCCUGGGUUGACACCUGGGCCGACGCCUAGAUUGCGACCUCACAGGAAGACUCCAAUCCAGAACCAUCCAGGUGCCCUCCUCUGCAAACAGGAUAAAUGAUCAAAGAACCUGUCUCAGAGGCCUACUGGGAAGACUAAAUUUUAGACUUUUAAAGACUUGACAGAACAAAGAGAGGGCUCAUUGCACACGGGCCCUGCACAGCGGUUUGAUUCAUGCUGGUGACGGCUGCUUCCUGGGAUUAGAACACAGGGGCCGAGAGCUGCUUUCUUCUGCUUGGAACUCUUUACAUGACCAAGAGUCCUGCCUCUUGCCCCGCUAACUAUUACAAUCUCCAAAGCAUAUGAGGAGGUUAAAAACAAACAGUAUCAUGCAUAACAGUAUGCAUAGCAAGUUGGCAUGUGUAUAAGAUGGGAGAAAACAUUUAUACUAGUACAUGGCUGUUUGUCCAUUCCUCACAUUGGUGAGUACUACUGUGUAAUAGGCCUUUUGCUAGGUGUUCAGGAUGCAGGAGUAAACAAAACAGAGGAAAUGGCUACUUUUACACUAUUCGUGUAAAUGAAACUGAUUUAAGUAUUUUAGACACAG